GAUGAACGCUGGCGGCGUGCCUAAUACAUGCAAGUCGAGCGAACAGACGAGGAGCUUGCUCCUCUGACGUUAGCGGCGGACGGGUGAGUAACACGUGGAUAACCUACCUAUAAGACUGGGAUAACUUCGGGAAACCGGAGCUAAUACCGGAUAAUAUAUUGAACCGCAUGGUUCAAUAGUGAAAGACGGUUUUGCUGUCACUUAUAGAUGGAUCCGCGCCGCAUUAGCUAGUUGGUAAGGUAACGGCUUACCAAGGCAACGAUGCGUAGCCGACCUGAGAGGGGUGAUGGCCCACACUGAACUUAGGAACGGUCCCGGACCCCUAGGGAGGCAGGCGGUGGGAAGUCUCCGGAAUGGGGCAAAGGCUGACGGGAGAAAGGCCGCGGAGGUAUGAAGGUCUUUCGAUCCGUAAACCCUGGUAUUAGGGAAGAACCAAUGUGUAAGGAACUAUGCACCUCUUGAAGGGAACUAAUCAGAAAGCCACGGCUAACUACGUG
rnacentral:rRNA from 1 species